CGCACGGGUGCGUAACACGUAUGCAAUCUGCCCUUAACUGGAGGAUAGCCCGGCGAAAGUCGGAUUAAUACUCCAUAACAUUGUGAAACGGCAUCGUUUUAUUAUUAAAGCUUCGGCGGUUAAGGAUGAGCAUGCGCAACAUUAGCUAGUUGGCGAGGUAACGGCUCACCAAAGCUACGAUGUUUAGGGGGUCUGAGAGGAUUUUCCCCCACACUGGUACUGAGACACGGACCAGACUCCUACGGGAGGCAGCAGUAGGGAAUAUUGGGCAAUGGACGCAAGUCUGACCCAGCCAUGCCGCGUGCAGGAUGACUGCCCUAUGGGUUGUAAACUGCUUUUAUAUGGGAAGAAACCCCUUUACGUGUAGAGGGCUGACGGUACCAUACGAAUAAGGAUCGGCUAACUCCGUGCCAGCAGCCGCGGUAAUACGGAGGAUCCAAGCGUUGUCCGGAUUUAUUGGGUUUAAAGGGUGCGUAGGCGGACUAUUAAGUCAGAGGUGAAAGUUUGCAGCUUAACUGUAAAAUUGCCUUUGAAACUGGUAGUCUUGAGUAUAGUUGAGGUGGGCGGAAUGUGUCAUGUAGCGGUGAAAUGCUUAGAUAUGAUACAGAACACCGAUUGCGAAGGCAGCUCACUAAGCUAAAACUGACGCUGAGGCACGAAAGCGUGGGGAGCGAACAGGAUUAGAUACCCUGGUAGUCCA
rnacentral:rRNA from 1 species